AAAGGUUUAUACACUGUCGUUAAAAAUCAAUUUCUCUGUGGAGAAAACAAAUGGGAUUUUUCAUCCAGAACCCUGCUGUCGCACUCCAUGGGAAGAAGGCACGAUUUCCAUUCAUUUCAGUCAGGCCAGAGAUUUGAUGACCAAGUUUGUGCUUUUAAUGCAUAGUUGUUUUUGGAAAUUAUUGCUGUCACAUGAAACCCAGCUCAAUUAAACGUACCUGUGUGGUAUCCCAGUAUGAACUCCCCUCAGACUUUUGUAACAUUUUAGUUACUCACAUUUGGGACUACAAUCAAUGCAUUCUCUCUCUAUCAUAGCUCUAGUGUUUUCUUUCCUGUUCACCUAUUUUAGCUUAUUUGGGGAGUCUAUUGAUUUACAGAUGGACUAAAGCAGCACUGUUUUACAACCAUAUGUGCCAAAUCUCACUCUGGCAUCCGUGUAUAUUUAUAGGAAAGCAGCAGCAUAAAUCUCAGUGUUCUUGCAUUAGGACUCUACUUAAGAAACAACUUCCCACUGUUUCCUUCUGGGGGGGAAAAAUCCCUUUUAUGUGCAUACGGUAAAUUCUCCACAAGGAGCGUGUCCGAUGUGCAAUACAUUAUGCUUUUGGCAGGUUUAAGAGCUUGCUUGCGCCGUGCCUCCUGCUUCUCUGAAAAAUCAUUUUAGUGUAAUAACAUGCAGCUCCCCUUGAACUCAAAAGGCAAAUUAGGGUUUGUGAAAACAGCUGUUCCCAACGGGAAGAUCAUGUUAAGACGCUUGUCUGUAAUUCCUCCUAUCUGUGUUUUACAGGACAGUCGCCAGCCCAUGGAGGAGAAGAGUCAACGCACGAGAAGGGCUUCUGCCAGCCGUACCGUGGCAUCGCGUGCGCUCGCUUCAUAGGGAACAGGAGUAUCUACGUGGAGUCUCUGCAGAUGCAGGGAGAAAGUGAAAACCGCAUCACAGGUGAGCACUGCUGUCCUGAAACCAGUGCUGAGAACAUUAGAACAGUUUAUUGGCACAUACAGUUGAGAUCAAAAUUAGAGAACAACCUACAAAUUUCAAGGUCACUGCUUAGU
rnacentral:lncRNA from 1 species